GUAAGCUACUAAGAGCGAAUGGUGGAUGCCUUGACUGGUAAAGGCGAUGAAGGACGUACUAGACUGCGAUAAGCUACGGGGAGCUGUCAAGAAGCUUUGAUCCGUAGAUUUCCGAAUGGGGCAACCCAAUGUAUAGAGAUAUACAUUACCUAUAUAGGAGCGAACGAGGGGAAUUGAAACAUCUUAGUACCCUCAGGAAAAGAAAUCAAUAGAGAUUGCGUCAGUAGCGGCGAGCGAAAGCGCAAGAGGGCAAACCCAGUGCUUGCACUGGGGGUUGUAGGACUGCAAUGUGCAAGAGGUAAGUUUAGCAGAACAUUCUGGAAAGUAUAACCAUAGAGGGUGAUAGUCCCGUAUGCGAAAAACAAACCUUAGCUAGCAGUAUCCUGAGUAGGGCGGGACACGAGGAAUCCUGUCUGAAUCCGGGUCGACCACGAUCCAACCCUAAAUACUAAUACCAGAUCGAUAGUGCACAAGUACCGUGAGGGAAAGGUGAAAAGAACUGAGGUGAUCAGAGUGAAAUAGAACCUGAAACCAUUUGCUUACAAUCAUUCAGAGCCCUAUGUAGCAAUACAGGGUGAUGGACUGCCUUUUGCAUAAUGAGCCUGCGAGUUGUGGUGUCUGGCAAGGUUAAGCAAACGCGAAGCCGUAGCGAAAGCGAGUCUGAAUAGGGCGCUUAGUCAGAUGCUGCAGACCCGAAACGAAGUGAUCUAUCCAUGAGCAAGUUGAAGCUAGUGUAAGAACUAGUGGAGGACUGAACCCAUAGGCGUUGAAAAGCCCCGGGAUGACUUGUGGAUAGGGGUGAAAGGCCAAUCAAACUUCGUGAUAGCUGGUUCUCUCCGAAAUAUAUUUAGGUAUAGCGUUGUGUCGUAAUAUAAGGGGGUAGAGCACUGAAUGGGCUAGGGCAUACACCAAUGUACCAAACCCUAUCAAACUCCGAAUACCUUAUAUGUAAUCACAGCAGUCAGGCGGCGAGUGAUAAAAUCCGUCGUCAAGAGGGAAACAACCCAGACUACCAGCUAAGGUCCCUAAAUCUUACUUAAGUGGAAAACGAUGUGAAGUUACUUAAACAACCAGGAGGUUGGCUUAGAAGCAGCCAUCCUUUAAAGAAAGCGUAAUAGCUCACUGGUCUAGUGAUUUUGCGCGGAAAAUAUAACGGGGCUAAAGUAAGUACCGAAGCUGUAGACUUAGUUUACUAAGUGGUAGGAGAGCGUUCUAUUUGCGUCGAAGGUAUACCGGUAAGGAGUGCUGGAGCGAAUAGAAGUGAGCAUGCAGGCAUGAGUAGCGAUAAUUAAUGUGAGAAUCAUUAACGCCGUAAACCCAAGGUUUCCUACGCGAUGCUCGUCAUCGUAGGGUUAGUCGGGUCCUAAGUCGAGUCCGAAAGGGGUAGACGAUGGCAAAUUGGUUAAUAUUCCAAUACCAACAUUAGUGUGCGAUGGAAGGACGCUUAGGGCUAAGGGGGCUAGCGGAUGGAAGUGCUAGUCUAAGGUCGUAGGAGGUUAUAUAGGCAAAUCCGUAUAACAAUACUCCGAGAACUGAAAGGCUUUUUGAAGUCUUCGGAUGGAUAGAAGAACCCCUGAUGCCGUCGAGCCAAGAAAAGUUUCUAAGUUUAGCUAAUGUUGCCCGUACCGUAAACCGACACAGGUGGGUGGGAUGAGUAUUCUAAGGCGCGUGGAAGAACUCUCUUUAAGGAACUCUGCAAAAUAGCACCGUAUCUUCGGUAUAAGGUGUGGUUAGCUUUGUAUUAGGAUUUACUCCGAAAGCAAGGAAACUUACAACAAAGAGUCCCUCCCGACUGUUUACCAAAAACACAGCACUCUGCUAACUCGUAAGAGGAUGUAUAGGGUGUGACGCCUGCCCGGUGCUCGAAGGUUAAUUGAUGGGGUUAGCAUUAGCGAAGCUCUUGAUCGAAGCCCGAGUAAACGGCGGCCGUAACUAUAACGGUCCUAAGGUAGCGAAAUUCCUUGUCGGUUAAAUACCGACCUGCAUGAAUGGCGUAACGAGAUGGGAGCUGUCUCAAAGAGGGAUCCAGUGAAAUUGUAGUGGAGG
rnacentral:rRNA from 1 species